rnacentral:rRNA from 1 species
UACGGAGGGUGCAAGCGUUGCUCGGAAUUAUUGGGCGUAAAGGGUAGGUAGGUGGUCUGAUUUGUCAGGGGUGAAAGCCUUGGGCUUAACCCAAGAAGUGCCCCUGAAACGGUCGGACUAGAGUCUCGGAGAGGGUCGUGGAAUUCCCAGUGUAGCGGUGAAAUGCGUAGAGAUUGGGAGGAAUACCAGCGGCGAAGGCGGCGGCCUGGACGAGUACUGACACUGAACUACGAAAGCGUGGGGAGCAAACAGG